GCCCGGGUGGCGAAAUGGCAGACGCACAUGACUCAAAAUCAUGCGAGAGCAAUCUCAUGAGGGUUCGAGUCCCUCCCCGGGCA
rnacentral:tRNA from 1 species